UGUGGUGAAGGGCUAUGUGCCUAGUACCGUUUGUCUACUCAAAGUCCAACUACGAUUGUGGCCUGGAUUUGUUCCUUAGAGGGUGAAAGACCCGUAUGAGUAGAUGUUAUAGCAUUCAAUAACGGGACCUAGCAGUACAUAUCAAAGAGUCGGAUUGCUUGAGAAUGCAGUCCAAAGACGGGUGGUAAACUCCAUCCAAGGCUAAAUACUGGCACGAGUCCGAUAGUAAACAAGUACCGUGAGGGAAAGUUGAAAAGUACUCUGAAGAGAGAGUAAAUAGUACGUGAAGCCGCCUGUAGGGAAGCUGGUGGAGUCAAGCUUCUUGCCUUAUGGUUUGGUAUGGGGAUAAUUAACUGAAUACGGAGGUAUAUGACCUGUAAAUGGUUGGGUGAACUUGUUUGCUCGAAGUUUAACGGGUAGUUUGCUUUGAAUUCCUCCUAUCUUCACGUCCCUUGUCCUAUACCCUUUGGCAUCCAUCACAGUCGAUGCGUGUUUUGCACCGAAAGGUCUAACUGUACUGAGGCAAGUCACUGGCUUACUUAAUACAGAACGGCAGGUCGAGGCAUUGCGUUUACGUGAAUGUCUCUUUGUAUCGUAUUUGGACCGCUGACC
rnacentral:rRNA from 1 species